GAGUGGCGGACGGGUGAGUAAUGUCUGGGAAACUGCCUGAUGGAGGGGGAUAACUACUGGAAACGGUAGCUAAUACCGCAUAACGUCGCAAGACCAAAGAGGGGGACCUUAGGGCCUCUUGCCAUCGGAUGUGCCCAGAUGGGAUUAGCUAGUAGGUGGGGUAACGGCUCACCUAGGCGACGAUCCCUAGCUGGUCUGAGAGGAUGACCAGCCACACUGGAACUGAGACACGGUCCAGACUCCUACGGGAGGCAGCAGUGGGGAAUAUUGCACAAUGGGCGCAAGCCUGAUGCAGCCAUGCCGCGUGUAUGAAGAAGGCCUUCGGGUUGUAAAGUACUUUCAGCGGGGAGGAAGGGAGUAAAGUUAAUACCUUUGCUCAUUGACGUUACCCGCAGAAGAAGCACCGGCUAACUCCGUGCCAGCAGCCGCGGUAAUACGGAGGGUGCAAGCGUUAAUCGGAAUUACUGGGCGUAAAGCGCACGCAGGCGGUUUGUUAAGUCAGAUGUGAAAUCCCCGGGCUCAACCUGGGAACUGCAUCUGAUACUGGCAAGCUUGAGUCUCGUAGAGGGGGGUAGAAUUCCAGGUGUAGCGGUGAAAUGCGUAGAGAUCUGGAGGAAUACCGGUGGCGAAAGCGGCCCCCUGGACCAAGACGGACGCUCAGGUGCGAAAGCGUGGGGAGCAAACAGGAUUAGAU
rnacentral:rRNA from 1 species